rnacentral:tRNA from 2 species
UGCGGAUGUGGCGGAAUGGCAGACGCACAAGACUCAAAAUCUUGCGUAGGUGACUACGUGCGGGUUCAAGUCCCGCCAUCCGCAU